rnacentral:rRNA from 1 species
CAGUAGGACUACCCGCUGAACUUAAGCAUAUCAAUAA